AUUGAACGCUGGCGGCAGGCCUAACACAUGCAAGUCGAGCGAGCGGCGGACGGGUGAGUAAUGUAUGGGAAACUGCCUGAUGGAGGGGGAUAACUACUGGAAACGGUAGCUAAUACCGCAUACCAUCAGAUGUGCCCAGAUGGGAUUAGCUAGUAGGUGGGGUAACGGCUCACCUAGGCGACGAUCCCUAGCUGGUCUGAGAGGAUGACCAGCCACGCUGGAACGGGAAAACAGCCCAGAAUCCUACGGGAGGCAGCAGUGGGGAAUAUUGCACAAUGGGCGCAAGCCUGAUGCAGCCAUGCCGCGUGUGUGAAGAAGGCCUUCGGGUUGUAAAGCACUUUCAAAGGGGAAGCGUUACCCGCAGAAGAAGCACCGGCUAACUCCGUGCCAGCAGCCGCGGUAAUAC
rnacentral:rRNA from 1 species